AUUUUCAUUAAUAAAAUACUUCAUUUAAGCGAAAAAUACCAUAAACGCGGAAAGUGUCGUCCCUGAUAAGCCUGUGCGGCAUGCACAGACUAAUCUGAGAGGACACUUUGCGCAAAUGCAGUAAGCCCAUUUUCCCAGAACGGGGUUCAUAUAACAGCCAGGUUUAACAUUUUAGGCGCCAGAAGCAAAGUCUGAUACCAAUCAUCCUAGAAAAGGGGGUACUAGUUCCCAGAAUUCUCCGCUUUCUAGCCGCCUGCGAUUUCACAAAGACAGAUAUGAUCGAUAGGAUCUGGGAAGACCUGGAGUCGGCCAUAAAAGCGCCCAUGGAACCGGAAACUUUCUUCGAACCGGAAGACGAGGAGAAUCCAUUCCGUCCUGAUUUGAACAUUAAUUUUACUGAUUGGCGUCCACUGGACGAGAUUCGAACGAUUCCACAUGUCCACAUGGAGGACAAUGCCAGUGAACAAACUAUUAUGGAAUAUGAAACCGGAUAUCAUAGUUCGUCAGUGAUGACCAGAGUUCCGAUCCGUACAAAGCUAUGGGAAUGGAUAUCUCUUCCACGAGAUCGUCCAUUGAAGUGUCAAUAAGCGUUUUAAUUGUUGAAAUCGUUCAUUUUAGGUAAAUAAAGGCAGGCUUUAUUUGCGUGGGAUCUACAUUAAGACAUACCGCUCUUUGUUGCUCUCCCUGCUUAAUUAAUCAACUCACCUGUGAGUAAUGAUUUUUAAUGUGAACUAUUAUCUUAGUCUAUUUCCGGCGUCGUGCGUAUUGUGUCGUGUGUCGUCCGGCGUAAACUUUAAUCUCAUACCACUCUAGAGGCUACAUGUUUCGUUUAUUCUUUAUCAAACUAAGUAUGUUUAUAUUUAUGUGUAUUUCAAAUAGUUUAUUUUCUGAUAUAACUUGGGCCGAAUAACUUUUAAACGUUGUAUCCGAAAAAUGGACAUACUUUGGUAAGCACGCUGAUUUUGAGCCAGAAACACUAUUGCUUUUCAUUUUGUAUACCUUCAUGUCUCUAACAGUGGGCACACUUUGGCCCGCAAGCCACUAUGUUAAAUUUGCAUCUUUACAUCAUAUUCGUUUUAGCGUGAAUAUAAUAAUAAUCAAAGCGCUGAAGACACUGAAGUUGUUCGCUAUUGCAUAAUUUAAGACGCAACUCAUUUUUCAAAUUAAUCGCAAGUUUGAAAUGAACACACCCUAUUCAAAUUUAUUAAGAGUGUGUCAUAACGCACGGGUCGAGAUGUGUGUGCACUUUUUAUCAUCCUAUUUAUUUUAUAGAGAUAACUUAGACAAAAUAACUAAAACAUGGCCUUUUUUGGACGUUCUGAAAGCAUAGAAAGCAUGAUGAAAAUGGUAAUGAGAACUGAAUAUAAAGACACUUUGCAAUCGCCAUCAUUUUAAAUGAAUAUUGUUGGAAUAUCGAAUACCUAUCUCACUAAGAAUAUUAUUUCAUGAUGAAAAUUCCCUGUACACAACUUUUAAUUUUUGACACCAUAUACAAAUUCAAAAUAUACAAUAAGAUAAUUGAUGAAAAUAAAUAAAAAAUAAAUCUGCGAGCAAUACUUUUUACUCACGAAUUAGGUAAUCAUAAAGACAGCUCUGUUGA